GGGAUCAUAGCUCAGCUGGGAGAGCAUCUGCCUUACAAGCAGAGGGUCAUAGGUUCGAGCCCUAUUGGU
rnacentral:tRNA from 1 species